rnacentral:rRNA from 1 species
GAUGAACGCUGGCGGCGUGCCUAAUACAUGCAAGUCGAGCGAACGGACGAGAAGCUUGCUUCUCUGAUGUUAGCGGCGGACGGGUGAGUAACACGUGGAUAACCUACCUAUAAGACUGAGAUAACUUCGGGAAACCGGAGCUAAUACCGGAUAAUAUUUUGAACCGCAUGGUUCAAAAGUGAAAGACGGCCUUGCUGUCACUUAUAGAUGGAUCCGCGCUGCAUUAGCUAGUUGGUAAGGUAACGGCUUACCAAGGCAACGAUGCAUAGCCGAGCUGAGAGGGUGAUCGGCCACAUGGGAACUGAGACGCGGUCCAGACGCCUGCGGGAGGCAGCAGUAGGGAAUCUGCCGCAAAGGGCGAAAGCAUGACGGAGCAACGCCGCGUGAGUGAUGAAGGUCUUCGGAUCGUAAAAACCUGUUAUUAGGGAAGAACAUAUGUGUAAGUAACUGUGCACAUCUUGACGGUACCUAAUCAGAAAGCCACGGCUAACUACGUG